UGGGGAAUAUUGGGCAAUGGGCGCAAGCCUGACCCAGCAACGCCGCGUGAAGGAAGAAGGCCCUCGGGUUGUAAACUUCUUUUGUCAGGGACGAAGCAAGUGACGGUACCUGACGAAUAAGCCACGGCUAACUACGUGCCAGCAGCCGCGGUAAUACGUAGGUGGCAAGCGUUAUCCGGAUUUACUGGGUGUAAAGGGCGUGUAGGCGGGACUGCAAGUCAGAUGUGAAAAGCCAUGGGCUCAACCCAUGGCCUGCAUUUGAAACUGUAGUUCUUGAGUGAUGGAGAGGCAGGCGGAAUUCCGUGUGUAGCGGUGAAAUGCGUAGAUAUACGGAGGAACACCAGUGGCGAAGGCGGCUUACUGGACGGUAACUGACGUUGAGGCUCGAAAGCGUGGGGAGCAAACAGGAUUAGAUACCC
rnacentral:rRNA from 1 species